rnacentral:rRNA from 1 species
CUCGCAGGGAUUGCGCUUGCUUCAACCCCUUACCGCGAAAGUAUUGCCGCCAGACUUGGCCCCCUGCGCGAUUUUCUAUUGUUAUUCUUUUUUAUCGCCCUUGGUGCGACCUUAGAUUUGUCUCAACUUGGAUCACAUAUCUACGCAGCCAUCCUAUUUUCGGUCUUCGUGUUAAUAGGCAACCCUCUGAUUGUGUUGAUUAUCAUGGGAUUAAUGGGCUACAAAAAAAGAACCAGUUUUUUAGCUGGCCUAACCGUUGCACAAAUCAGUGAAUUCUCGCUCAUUUUUAUUGCGAUGGGGAUAAGCCUAGGCCAUAUUCAACAAGACAUUUUGGGGUUAGUGACCUUAGUCGGCAUUGUCACUAUCACGGCAUCAACCUAUAUGAUCACCUACUCCCAUAAACUUUACGCAAUAUGCGAACCGAUAUUGGGAAUAUUUGAACGAACAGGCACUCCACGUGAACAACCUUCUAAACAUUCAACCCAAGAUCAUUAUCAAGUGGUCAUCUUUGGAUUAGGACGUUUAGGGACGGCAAUUGCUGCGCGUCUAAAAGAAAAAGGCGUGAAAGUACUCGGUUUAGACUUCAAUCCAUCAGCCAUAAAAAAGUGUCGCUUACUCGGUAUUGAUACAGAAUACGGCGAUGUGACAGACGCCGAGUUUAUCGCCGAACUUCCUCUUAGACACGCCCAUUGGAUUGUAUCUACUAUGCCACAGCACCAUACGGGCCUGACCUUAGAAGAUACAAGAAAAACCAUUAUACAACUCACUCGCACAAGCGGUUUUAGCGGUAAAUUAGCCACGGUUUCUCAGAGUAAAAAAGAAACGGAAGAAUUAACAAUGCUGGGUAUCGACCUCGUAUUAGAACCCUUUCAAGAUGCUGCAGAUAGGGCAAUAGAGUUGUUACUUGAUGGUGUGGAUGUAUAAAUCUACCCACUAUAAAUAAGGAGAUAUUCCAUGAAUCAAUUCAAAAACAUCUUAUAUGUACUGCAUCCUCAUGGAGAUGAAAAUCCCCAAUCAUUAGCCAGAGUCAUAUCACUUACCAACAAUAAUCAGGCUGAAUUAACACUAUUACGUAUUAUCCCUAAGCCUUCAUUGAGUGCUUAUACCAAACAACUAGGCAUUAAUGAUGAAGACAUAGCACAAAAAAUACAGAACCAUGAAGAAGCUAAAUUGCGAGAAUUACUGGCGUUUUUUACGCCCCACUGCACCGCGAAAGCUGAACUAAAAAUGGGUAAAAGUUACAUCGAUAUCAUUCACACAGUGCAGAUGGAAAAUAUUGAUUUAGUCAUCAAAGAAACUGAAUCAAAUAGCUGGCUCGAUCGCCUUUUUGGCAGUAACGAUAUGCACCUACUGCGCAAAUGUCCCUGUCCAAUUUGGUUAAUGCAACCCAAUGAAAAUCCCAAUUACCGCCAAAUUAUGGCCGCGGUGGAUUUCAAUACUGAUAUUACCGAAGAAGAAAAUAGUGAUUUAAAUCAAGAGAUAGUAAAUAUAGCCAGUGCACUCGCACUGUCUGAUUUUGCAUCACUACAUAUAGUAAAUGCAUACGAUACGCCUGAAGCUGGAUUUAUUGGUUUAUGGGCAGAGCAACCCGAAAAAUUAGAGCGCCAGUUAUUAGAAGACGAAUAUCUUCAAAAACGCAGUAAAAUGGCAACGCUCUUUGAUAAUUUAAAAAAUAAACUGGGUAAGCAAUCCUACGAUUAUCUUUCCCCCCAGUCCCAUUUGGUACAAGGCGCUGCCGCUCAAGAACUUCCCCAAUUAGCCAAAAAGCUACAGGUCGAUAUUGUCGUUAUGGGCACCGUUGCCCGUACAGGUAUUCCAGGGCUUAUCAUCGGAAAUACGGCAGAAGCGAUCCUUACCCAACUGAAUUGUUCAGUACUAGCGAUUAAACCUAAGGGAUUUAUUUCCCCAGUAAAAUAGUUCGCGAACUGGAUACUCAAACAAUCUGAAGAUGUGGCGUUGUGUAUUGUGAGCAGGUUUGGGUAUCUCUAUCCCCUAACACAGUUACGCCCAUCGGAUUUAGCUUCAUAUAAGGCUUUAUCCGCUCGGCUAAAGAGCGUUUCGGCAUCAUCACCCUCUUGUAAUGAGGCAAGACCGAUCGAUACUGUAAUUGCGCCGAGGGAUAAUUUUUUAUCUUUACCUAUGGUUAAGUGCCGCUCUGAAAUACGUUCUCUUAAGGUUUCCGCAACUUGUAAAGCAUCGUGAAAAUGGGUAUUUGGCAAAAGCACUACAAACUCUUCGCCACCAUAGCGAGCAACAAAGUCAUCACCUCGAACACAUUGCUUUAAGGCGAGUGCGACAUAAGCUAAUACUUUAUCGCCAAUUUGAUGACCAUAGGUAUCAUUAAAUUGUUUAAACCUAUCUAUAUCAACAAUCAGUAAGCUACAACGGGAAUGCUGUUCUUGGGCGCGGUGAAUAUGGUCUUGAAUGGCAAUUUCAUAGGCGCGGCGAUUAUAUAAAGAGGUUAAUUGAUCCGUCAUGGCCGCCAGACUUAAAUUUUCCAUUUCCGACUUAAGAUGUUGUACCUCUUGCCCCAUGGCAUUUAGGCUUUGUUCCAUGUUUUGGUUGUUGAUCAGUAAACUUUGCAUUUCAUCCAUCACACCAUCAACAAGUUGAUUUAAGGUAUUAAUGUCAGAAUUGGAUUGAAGCUUGAUGCCAAAUUCCGCUAAAGUGCCCGAAAAAUCCGCGGUCCCUUGGUUCAAUUGUACAAUUUUGCACAGUAAUGAAUUGAUUAAAAUCUGAGUCUCUAUUUGCACAUUCUCAAUCACCUCGGGGGAUUGUUCUUGGAUAAAAUUUUUAUAUAAGCUUGUAUUAACCUCUUUUGUAAACACAACACCGUUUGCGAUAAAACCAUCAAUCGCACGGUUUAAGUCAAGAUUAGUCCCCGCAA